GGUUAGUUUGCUGUUUAUUCUCACAUCUUCACGGGUUUUUGGUGGGUUUUCCAUUUGGCUUGACCAGAUUGGCUGUAAUUAUUGCUUCAUUUGCCUUUUCAUUCUUUAAUGAUUCUUUUUUCCCUGGGCAGUUGCUGAGCAGUUUGAUAAGAGGGGGGACCCACCCCCUUACGUGUGGAAUGUGUAUUCUUUGCAGCCUCAUGUUUCUACUGGUAGGUGGAUGUUGAACAGAACUACAGAAAGCUCUUUGGGAUAAUCAAGUCUCUCCCCUCAUUUCCAGUUUCUAAGGAUUUAUGGAAGGUGCCCCCGGGACUGGACCAGCCGAGGCCGGAGGGUCUGAAACUCUUGCUGUAAUCCGCGAUGGA
rnacentral:lncRNA from 1 species